UGGCUCAGGACGAACGCUGGCGGCGUGCUUAACACAUGCAAGUCGAACGGGAGUAUUGAAGAAGCUUGCUUAGAGAUACUUUAGUGGCGGACGGGUGAGUAACGCGUGAGGAGCUGUCCUAUGCAGGGGGACAACAGCUGGAAACGGCUGCUAAUACCCCAUAAGCCGAGAGGUAAAAGGAUCAAUCCGGCAGAGGAGGUACUCGCGUCCUAUCAGCUAGUAGGUGAGGUAACGGCUCACCUAGGCGAAGACGGGUAGCCGGCCUGAGAGGGCGAACGGCCACACUGGAACUGAGAUACGGUCCAGACUCCUACGGGAGGCAGCAGUGGGGAAUAUUGGGCAAUGGGGGGAAAAACCCCCUGACCCAGCGACGCCGCGUGGGUGAAGAAAUCCUUCGGGAUGUAAAGCCCUGUUGUAUGGGAAGAGCGGAAGACGGUACCAUACGAGGAAGCCCCGGCAAACUACGUGCCAGCCGCAGC
rnacentral:rRNA from 1 species